GAAAGAGGGAAUCAUAACCCUCAUAU
rnacentral:guide_RNA from 1 species